UACGUAGGGUGCGAGCGUUGUCCGGAAUUACUGGGCGUAAAGGGCGCGUAGGCGGCCUUCUAAGUCGAACGUGAAAUCCCCGGGCUCAACCCGGGAACUGCGUCCGAUACUGGAAGGCUUGAAUCCGGGAGAGGGAUGUGGAAUUCCAGGUGUAGCGGUGAAAUGCGUAGAUAUCAAGUGGAACACCAGUGGCGAAGGCGAGUCCCUGGACAACUCCUGACACUGAGGCACGAAAGCUAGGGGAGCAAACAGG
rnacentral:rRNA from 1 species